rnacentral:misc_RNA from 1 species
UGAUAUUCACGAAGGCGGGUAACCUAGUGAGAGUUUCAAACACAAAUUAAUCAUUAAAACCAGGAGCAAAAUUAGCAAAUAUCACUAUAUCUGUAACAUGAAUGGAAACAUCUGCAAUUAGCAUAUGUGCAGUUUUAAGAUAAUGCGGAUCCCUGCAUAUUAAAACCCAGGAUUCACAAUAAGACUCAUGUUGGCCAUCAAAUAUAGUGGGGAAAAAAAACAGUGAGGGAAUCUCUAGCAUCUUUGCUGUAAACACUAAACACAG